GAUGAAGAACGUAGCGAAAUGCGAUACGUAAUGUGAAUUGCAGAAUUCAGUGAAUCAUCGAAUCUUUGAACGCAUAUUGCGCUCUCUGGUAUUCCGGAGAGCAUGCUUGUUUGAGUAUCAGUAAACACCUCAACUUCCAUAUCUUUUUUGAAAUGGGAGUUGGACUUGAGUGAUCCCAACGCUUUUCCUCACCGAAAAGUGGCGGGUUACUUGAAAUGCAGGUGCAGCUGGACUUUUCUCUGAGCUAUAAGCAUAUCUAUUUAGUCUGCCUAAAAAACAGAUUAUUACCUUUGCUGCAGCUAACAUAAAGGAGAUUAGUUCUUGUGCUGACUGAUGCAGGAUUCACAAAAACGGCUUCGGCCGACUUUGUAAACUCGAUCUCAAAUCAAGUAAGACUAACCGCUGAACUUAAGCAUAUCAAUAAGCGGAGGA
rnacentral:misc_RNA from 1 species